UGAUAGAGAAGGAGUAUUACUACUUGGAAUCUGGUGUUUGUGCUCCAGCCAAGGUACGCAUCCAUUAUAUUCAGGUAAUUUGGAUUAAUUCAACUCAAUUUGGAUGUGGUAAAGUUGUACGCAAUAAUGACAAGAGAGUUGUCAUUGCUUGUUAUUAUUACCAUAUUGGUAAUAUUCUUGGGAAACAUCUAA